AUUGAACGCUGGCGGCAGGCCUAACACAUGCAAGUCGAGCGAGCGGCGGACGGGGGAGUAAUGUAUGGGGGCUGCCCGAUAGAGGGGGAUAACUACUGGAAACGGUAGAUAAUAACGCAUACUAUCGGAUACACCAUAGGUGAUUAGCUAGUAGGUGAGGUAAUGGCUCACCACGGCGACGAUCCCUAGCUGGUCUGAGAGGAUGAACAUCCACACUGGGACGGGGACACGGCCCAUACUCCUACGGAGGCAGAAGGGGGGAAUAUUGAACAAUGGGCGCAAGCCUGAUGCAGCCAGGCCGCGUGUAUGAAGAAGGCCCUAGGGUUGUAAAGUACUUUCAGUCGGGAGGCGUUACCGACAGAAGAAGCACCGGCUAACUCCGUGCCAGCAGCCGCGGUAAUUC
rnacentral:rRNA from 1 species